rnacentral:rRNA from 1 species
AAUCAACGCUGGCGGCGUGCCUAACACAUGCAAGUCGAACGGUGACGAGGAGCUUGCUCCUCCGAUCAGUGGCGAACGGGUGAGUAACACGUGAGUAACCUGCCCCAGACUCUGGAAUAACAGUUGGAAACAGCUGCUAAUACCGGAUACGAGACGGAGAGGCAUCUCUACCGUCUGGAAAGUUUUUCGGUCUGGGAUGGACUCGCGGCCUAUCAGCUUGUUGGUGAGGUAAUGGCUCACCAAGGCGACGACGGGUAGCCGGCCUGAGAGGGCGACCGGCCACACUGGGACUGAGACACGGCCCAGACUCCUACGGGAGGCAGCAGUGGGGAAUAUUGCACAAUGGGCGCAAGCCUGAUGCAGCAACGCCGCGUGAGGGAUGACGGCCUCGGUUGUAACCGUCUUCUAGUAGGGAAGAAGACGAAGUGACGGUACCGUACAGAAGAAGC